rnacentral:snRNA from 1 species
GUGCUUGCUUUGUCAGCAUAUACACUAAAAUUUGUAUGAUACAGAGAAGAUUCAAUGGCCCCCGUGCAAGGAUGACAUGCAAAUUUGUGAAACAGUUCCAUUUGGA